rnacentral:rRNA from 1 species
AGUGAACGCUGGCGGUAGGCCUAACACAUGCAAGUCGAACGGCAGCACAGUAAGAGCUUGCUCUUACGGGUGGCGAGUGGCGGACGGGUGAGGAAUACAUCGGAAUCUACUUUUUCGUGGGGGAUAACGUAGGGAAACUUACGCUCAUACCGCAUCCGACCUACGGGUGAAAGCAGGGGAUCUUCGGACCUUGCGCGAUUGAAUGAGCCGAUGUCGGAUUAGCUAGUUGGCGGGGUAAAGGCCCACCAAGGCGACGAUCCGUAGCUGGUCUGAGAGGAUGGUCAGCCACACUGGAACGGAGACACGGUCCAGACUCCUACGGGAGGCAGCAGUGGGGAAUGUUGGACAAUGGGCGCAAGCCUGAUCCAGCCAUACCGCGUGGGUGAAGAAGGCCUUCGGGUUGUAAAGCCCUUUUGUUGGGAAAGAAAAGCAGCAGGUUAAGACCCCGCUGUUCUGACGGUACCCAAAGAAUAAGCACCGGCUAACUUCGUG